AGAAAAUUUUAAUUUUGACUUUGUGAAACCUGUUUCGACUUCGAAACCUGCUAUCAUAACUCAUACUUAGAAAUUAGAAUAGAAUAAGUCUUUAUUUAGUUAGAAUGAAUUAAUUUAACAAUGAUGUCAAUCAGUCUUUCACACGCUUAGAUUUAUUUCAGAAAGAAGAAUGACAGUGAGCUGCAGUCAGCAUGCUGCUCUAAAAAUAAAAGAUGAUUUGCAAACUAACAUUCUAGACAAGUGGAAGCAAGAAUCUCCUUUCUCAGAACGUGAGAUACCCAGCACUGUUUACUUGGAUUAUUUCGGGAGGGCACUCACCCAGUCUUGCAAGUAUUUAGAAGCAUUACAACCCUUCUUUAGAUCAUUAGAAUUUAUUUUUCCAAUACUACAUUAACAGAUCCACAUUAACAAUUAGCAAGUAGACUUUUCAAGCUUUCGAUGUUAUAGCUCUGCAUUUUCAAGCUUUCCCUGAAAAGGUAUUUCUAAAUCAGCGAAUUACCCAUUGAGGAUUGUGAGAGCAAAACCACGGUCGAAAUGUCAUUUUUCUAACCCCCCAUUGCCCAUGGCAUUCCCCAUUUUG